rnacentral:misc_RNA from 1 species
ACAAAUCAAAUUGUGGUGAUGGUAUGUAUGUGUAGUGUUGGGUUCAACGCUAUAUCACGCACACCUAACAUUUGUGCUCCAGGCAUUUCGUCUGGGUGCAACAUUAAUUCAUUAUUGUCAGUUGUUUGUCUAUUUUAAAUUUAUAAUC